CCACCGCAUGGUGGGUUGUUGAAAGAUUUAUCGGUGGGGGAUGGACUCGCGGCCUAUCAGCUUGUUGGUGAGGUAAUGGCUCACCAAGGCGACGACGGGUAGCCGGCCUGAGAGGGUGACCGGCCACACUGGGACUGAGACACGGCCCAGACUCCUACGGGAGGCAGCAGUGGGGAAUAUUGCACAAUGGGCGGAAGCCUGAUGCAGCGACGCCGCGUGAGGGAUGACGGCCUUCGGGUUGUAAACCUCUUUCAGUAGGGAAGAAGCGAAAGUGACGGUACCUGCAGAAGAAGCGCCGGCUAACUACGUGCCAGCAGCCGCGGUAAUACGUAGGGCGCAAGCGUUAUCCGGAUUUAUUGGGCGUAAAGAGCUCGUAGGCGGUUUGUCGCGUCUGCCGUGAAAGUCCGAGGCUCAACCUCGGAUCUGCGGUGGGUACGGGCAGACUAGAGUGAUGUAGGGGAGACUGGAAUUCCUGGUGUAGCGGUGAAAUGCGCAGAUAUCAGGAGGAACACCGAUGGCGAAGGCAGGUCUCUGGGCAUUUACUGACGCUGAGGAGCGAAAGCAUGGGGAGCGAACAGGAUUAGAUACCCUGGUAGUCCAUGCCGUAAACGUUGGGCACUAGGUGUGGGGGACAUUCCACGUUUUCCGCGCCGUAGCUAACGC
rnacentral:rRNA from 1 species